rnacentral:rRNA from 4 species
ACCUGCGGUAGGAUCAUU